CCGAUAAAUGUGUGAUCAUUAAUUGACCAGUGUGAACUGUCCAACAAAUCUUUAGGGGUCGACACAGGUAGAAGUGGUCGUUAAAUGGUGGAUAUUCCUUCCAGCAGCCCCGCCAUUGUGUCUUACUAUGCAUAUUGAACGUAAAAGACUGAGAGAACGUAUCUUCAUGAUCACCAUGAAAGGAAAAACUGUUAAAGAAAGAGACAAACAACUUUUGACGGUGGAUCUCUUGGCUCACGUAUCGAUGAAGAACGCAGCCAGCUGCGAUAUGUAGUGUGAAUUGCGGAAUUCAGUGAAUCAUUGAAUCUUUGAACGCAAAUGGCGCUCUUGGGUUCUCACAGGAGCAUGUCUGUCUGAGUGUCGGAUUUUAUCGAACGCACACUCACUCGUGAGUGUGCGGUAUUGAGGUGUCACGGCGUGAAGAAUCAGUGUAUUAAUGAUCGCCGUGUCCCUUGAAGAGCAGCAGCAGCAGCAUUCUCUAUUGAAACUUGAGUGCGAAGGCUAAAGAUAUUGCUAUUUUCCUUCGCUGCAGGUUGGUUUAGGGUUGUUGGGUUGCUGAAAAAGAGAAAAGAAAAGAAAGAAAGAAAUCCAAUCAAUCUUGACCUCAGAUCAGGCAAGGCUACCCGCUGAAUUUAA
rnacentral:rRNA from 1 species